CCUCGGUGAGGCCCCGAUGGAGGCCAGCAACCUUCUCUUCCCCAGAGGCUUCCUGGAGAAAGGUGCUUGAUUUCUGGAGCCUCUGCCUUGGGUGGUGGCCAUGUGGAUGCACCUUUCAAGGCUUCUUCCUUUGGGGAAUAUCUCCAGAGGCUGGGUGAGGGGAGAUAGACAGAAGAUGCACGGAUCAGGUCAACAGUCUUUUGUGACCAAAGUGCAGGGCUCAUGUUCCCCUGUAAUUGACUUGGGCAGCCACAGCUAGGAGAGAGGCUGUGGCAUCAAGGAGGACAAUUCUGUUCUCUUCCCAUCCACUGAACAGAUCCCGCCUGUGCAUCCCUCCUGCCAGCCAAGAAGGGGAGCUCAGACCCACUCCAUGUCCUCGUGGAGCCUGUCUUCAGCCAGAUGAGGAGACACAGAUGAGGAAUCACAACUGCUCAAUUGUUAUAAGAAAAAUUUAAUGCAGUUAUUCAGCCAAAGACACCAUUUUCAAAAGUGAACACAGAGGCCAUGAGUUCAACUUCUAAGAAUGGUGAAGGAGCAGUCUGAGUUUUAACGCCUGGAACCAAAAGAACUAACCAUUAUGGAAAGAAUUGCUGGGAUUCAAGCCAACAGACACAGAGCCUUCAGUGCUUUGAAAAACCAAACCAAGAAAAUUUUGGCUGGGCCUCAGUAGCUUCUAAAUCAAGAGCUGAAGAUGAGAACAUGGACGUGGGGAAGGACUAGACUCUAUUGAAGCCUCUCCCAGGUGGCAUCUCCCUGUGUGCUCACUACGGCCUGGGGAGCCAAGUGGGACCGCUGGGACGUGGAUUUGCCACUCAAGCCCUGAUCCGGAUGAGCCCUCGGUAGAGGAGCUGGUGUCUGAGCUCUGGGCCUCAGCAGUCUGGGGAGGACCAGCAGAGGAUGGCUGCCUGCUGAGAGGCAGGAAGGAUAUCUUUGCUGAGCUCCUAGGAAAUCUGAUAGGACUUAUUUCAUGUAAUACAAUCCAUUCUUGUGUCCCCGGGCUUUUGCUUAUGCUGAUCCCUCAGCCUGGGACACCCUCCACACUUUGUCCAUCUGGCAAAUUUCUAGUUUGCCUUCAAAAUUUAGCUCAGAGAGUAUCUCUUCCAAAAAACUUCUGUGACAGUUUGAAAACAUGGCUGCAAUGGGGGUUUGUUUGUUUGUUUUUUUGUUUUUGUUUUUUUGCUUCUCCUCCCAUCAAGAGGUAGAUUCUACAACCCCAUCCUUUGAA